rnacentral:lncRNA from 1 species
UUACAGCUGAUGACUGUUAAAAACUCGUUUGUGUUUGAAGCCAAUGUUGAUUAGUGUUUCUGUGGAUUUAUGCUGCAGGUUGCUUGUGGUGGAUGUCACAUGGUAGUUUUUGCUGCUCCUCAUCGUAGUGUGGCAAAAGAAAUUGAAUUCGAUGAAAUAAGUGAUACUUGCUUAUCUGUGGUGACUUUUCUGCCGUAUGGCAGUUUAACCUCAGGAAAUGUACUGCAGAGAACUCUAUCAGCACGUAUGCGGCGAAGAGAGGGAGAGACGGGGUUUCACCAUGCUGGCAAGGCUGGUCUCGAACUCCUGAUUUCAAGUGAUCCAGCAGCCUCGGUCUCCUAG